rnacentral:rRNA from 1 species
UACGGGAGGCAGCAGUGGGGAAUAUUGCGCAAUGGGCGAAAGCCUGACGCAGCGACGCCGCGUGAGGGACGAAGGCCUUCGGGUUGUAAACCUCUUUCAGCAGGGACGAAGCGAAAGUGACGGUACCUGCAGAAGAAGCACCGGCCAACUACGUGCCAGCAGCCGCGGUAAUACGUAGGGUGCAAGCGUUGUCCGGAAUUAUUGGGCGUAAAGAGCUCGUAGGCGGUCUGUCACGUCGGCUGUGAAAACCCGAGGCUCAACCUCGGGCCUGCAGUCGAUACGGGCAGACUAGAGUUCGGUAGGGGAGACUGGAAUUCCUGGCGUAGCGGUGAAAUGCGCAGAUAUCAGGAGGAACACCGGUGGCGAAGGCGGGUCUCUGGGCCGAAACUGACGCUGAGGAGCGAAAGCGUGGGGAGCAAACAGGAUUAGAUACCCUGGUAGUUCACGCCGUAAACGUUGGGCGCUAGGUGUGGGUUUCCUUCCACGGGAUCCGUGCCGCAGCUAACGCAUUAAGCGCCCCGCCUGGGGAGUACGGCCGCAAGGCUAAAACUCAAAGGAAUUGACGGAAUCGAAUU